rnacentral:rRNA from 1 species
UAGCGUAGGGCGCAAGCGUUGUCCGGAAUUAUUGGGCGUAAAGAGCUCGUAGGCGGUUUUGUCGCGGUCUGCUGUGAAAGCCCGGGGCUCAACCCCGGGUCUGCAGUGGGUACGGGCAGACUAGAGUGCAGUAGGGGAGGCUGGAAUUCCUGGUGUAGCGGUGAAAUGCGCAGAUAUCAGGAGGAACACCGAUGGCGAAGGCAGGUCUCUGGGCUGUAACUGACGCUGAGGAGCGAAAGCAUGGGGAGCGAACAGG